UAUACCUGAAGUGAAAUCUAGCGCGGUGGCAGUUUCGUAAUUAUUGGAAAAUCUACAACAUGUAUUCAUAUCAGCAGAUAAGAUAGCUGAAGGGAAAAAGCAGCACGGUGGUGAUUUUGUAAUUACAAUGAAUGUGUUUCACGUCGAUAGCAAAUAAUGCCUGAGGGGAAAAAGCAUCCCUAUGAAAAUUUCAUUUUUCCCUCUUCUACUAGUCAAAAUUAGAAACACGAUUGUUUUUCCCUCUAACACAAACCCUAAUCUUUCUCACACAAACCCUUUCUCUCUCACAAACCUUAUUGUUCUCUGGUACUGACUACUGAGGUAUUGUUUUCCGGCAUCUUCUCGUCUCCCUUUGUUUCUCUCGCCAAUGGUACCGUUCGCGUCGACCUCUUUCUCUUUCGCAACCAGUAUUGAGUCGUCGACGUCGGUAGUGUUCUCUUGCGCCGGAAAAGUCUCUCGUUGAUACUGUUCUUUGGUUCACUCACUUGCUCGAUUCAUCUCUGCCAGUGCUGAUUUUGUACUCGCAGAUAGGACUCUCUCUCUCUCUCUCUCCCCCGGUACAGUUCUCACAGUAUUCAUUCAUCAUCGUUUAUAGUGACAAACUCAGAUUUAUCAAUAAUCUAAGGUUGAUCUCUCGAACUCAAUAGCUGCAUCGCUCUCACUCAUUCGGUCGAUCAUUGAAUCUCGCUCACUCGGUCACUAGAUCAUUGACUCGUUGGUUGAAGGAACUGAAAAAGGAACAUUUGUACCACAAGGACAUGAUGAUAUCUUAACAAAGGCUAUUGGAACAUUCGAGCAUGGUGGUCGUGUCCGUGGUGUUGAAGAGAAAUUGGAACUAGAAUUCACAUCGGUGGAUAUUAGUGCUGAUGUUAGUUUUCCUACUUGACAUCGGUUGCCAUUGUAAACCCGAUGUGAAAUCAUAUGUUUACAGGUUAAUGGGUCACAUAUCAAAUCAGAGCAUAACAGGCCGAAUGUGGAUUAUUGUCUAUCACAUCGGGGCAGUACUCGAUGUAAAAUGAAAAUGACAUACAACAUCAUCUUUAGUGACAUCGGUUAGGACCCGAUGUGAAAUAUCGAUUCCAACCGAUGUGAAAUGUCAUUUCUGUAGUAGUAAUAAGCAUAUAUGUCUUGUUUCGUUUAAAAAAAAAAAGCAUUUAUCUUGUUGUAAUUUGUCAAAAACUGAUAUACAAAUUAAAUAUUUAUAUAUAAAAUUUAGGCUUAAUUACACCACAUGUCCUUUAAGUUUGACGUUUGUAACAGAUAGGUCAUUUAAGUUUGUUUUGUAACAGAUAGGUCCUUUAACUUUGUAACACUGUGCAACUAAGUCCUUCCGUUAACAAAACAUUUAUUUUCUUAAAACAAAACACUUAACACAUUACAUUAAUGUUACACUCAACAAUGUUUCAUCGUCUAACAUGAUUGCACGCUUAAAUUAAACUAAAAAAAACAACAUGUUACAAGGAUUGUUCACUUUACUUGAAUAAAUAUCAAGCUUAUUGUUGCAAUAACACAAGUUAAAGCCAACAACAUGCAAGUUACAUCAGCAAUCUUCAAAAAUAAUCAUAACAUUUUCCAAUUAAUAACAUGUUUUUGCCUUUUGCAUGCCACAUCACAGACUUCAGAGUCACGUCAGCGUUUUUUUGACGGUGAGUUAACGGAAGGACUUAGUUGUAUACUGUUACAAAGUUAAAGGACCUAUCUGUUACAAAACAAACUUAAAGGACCUAUCUGUUACAAACGUCAAACAUAAAGGACCCAUGGUGUAAUUAAACCUAAAAUUUACUAUAUGUAAGAAUGUUUAAAAGACACGAGACUAAUAACAUGCACAUUUCUAUUUUAAAUAAUCGACCCACUAUUCCUAACUAAUUGAUCAGUGAUUAGAUAUUUUCUUAUAUUCUAAUUAUAAAGAAAAAAAAUUAUAUUGAGAUGCAUUAAACCAUCUCAACCUUGAUUUCCUCACUUCAUUAAACUAACUAUCUAUGAUUAUUUUGUUUAGAAAAAGGUUGUUCUCUUGAUUUUCUUGGAUCCAAGAAUCUAAAGAAAUUCAUAAACCCUCUUUUCAAUAAAACGUUGAAUAUAAAACCCUAAUAGAAGCCCUAUCCCUCUCACUCAUUCUUCAUCACUCUUCACAUAAAAGUUCACACAAUUCUCUCUCUCUCUCUCUCUCUCUCUCUCUCUCUCUCUCUCUCUCACUCUUUAUCCUUCUCACUCACUCUUCAUCGCUCUUCAUGUCGAAGUUCACACACCACCAUGAGAUCCCCUAUGUUUGGUGGUUUUUCUUCUUCUUUUACAAACACUGGUUCAUCAUCAUCAUCAUGGUUCCAGGCAUAUGCUUCCUUCACCUAUUGCAUGGACCUCCAGGAACAGGAAAAUCUACCCUAGUUGCUGCUAUGGCAAAAUAUAUCUGAAAUUUGAUGUGUAUGAUUUGGAUUUAAGCGGUGUGUAUAGUAACUCAUAUCUCAUGAGAGUCAUGAGGAACACAUCUAACAAAUCCAUCAUUGUUAUUGAAGACAUUGACUGCAACAAGGAGGUGCUUAACUGAUCAAGAUCAGAAAUGUUUUCAGUUAAUUUCAUGCCGCCAACACCUGAGGAUCUUGGAUAUGAUGAGACUCAGGAUCUUGGAUAUGCAGCGACUCAUGGUCUUGGAUAUACUGGCAUUGUUGCUCCUAAAAAGUUUACUCUUUCGAGUCUUCUUAACUAUAUGGAUGGUUUGUGGUCAGGGAACGAAUUAUUGUAUUUACUACGAACCAUAAGGACAAAGUAGACCCAGCAUUGUUACGCCCCGGUCGAAUGGACAUGCAUAUUCACUUGUCCUUUCUUAAGGCCAAUACAUUCAGAAUCUUAGCUUCAAAUUAUUUGGACAUUGAAGAACAUCAUCAGCCACUCUUUGAGCAAAUUGAAGAGCUAUUGGAAAAAGUAGAUGCCAUGCACACCUGCUGUAGUGGCAGAGCAGCUGUUGAGAAGUGAGGAUGCUGAUGUUGCUCUCAAAGCACUUCUCAAAUUUCUUCAAGAAAUUGAUAUUUCAGGAGAGAAAAACUAAUACUAGAAAUGCAUUAUGUCAUUUGCAUCUGCUACUAUUCUAAUUUUCAUGACAUUGGCAGAGUUUUGAGAUAUCCAUGUAAUUUUCAAGUGUAAUUUUAAACUGUAUAAGUUGUCCAACAAUGUAUUUACGACGCCACAAAAUUAGUGUUGGACAAUUUUUGUAUGGGUAAGAACGAUGCAACAAUUAAAAUAAAGAUGAAUAAAUGAUUGCGUAGUUUAGCCGAAGCGUGUGUGAACACUAAGUU